UACAGAGGGUGCAAGCGUUGUUCGGAAUUAUUGGGCGUAAAGGGUGCGUAGGAGGUUUGUGAAGGGGAACGGGAAAACUCAGGGCUUAACCCAGAGCCUGCAUUCAAUACUGGCAGGCUAGAGUUCUGGAGGGGAUAGCGGAAUUCCUGGUGUAGCGGUGAAAUGCGUAGAUAUCAGGAGGAACACCGGUGGCGAAGGCGGCUAUCUGGACAGAGUCUGACGCUGAGGCGCGAAAGCUAGGGGAGCAAACAGG
rnacentral:rRNA from 1 species